AUACGAAAGGGGCUAGCGUUGUUCGGAAUUACAGGGCGUAAAGCGCACGUAGGCGGCAUUGUAAGUUGGGGGUGAAAUCCCAGGGCUCAACCCUGGAACUGCCUCCAAAACUACAGAGCUAGAGGAUGUGAGAGGAUAGUGGAAUUCCGAGUGUAGAGGUGAAAUUCGUAGAUAUUCGGAAGAACACCAGUGGCGAAGGCGACUGUCUGGCACAUUUCUGACGCUGAGGUGCGAAAGCGUGGGGAGCAAACAGGAUUAGAAACCCUUGUAGUCC
rnacentral:rRNA from 1 species